AUUUCAUCCUCUCUUCCACGUUUCUUAUAGACCAUUUUUAGCUAAACUUUCCUUUUCUUUCAUAUAGGUCAUUUUGUAUCAUUUUUCAACCCUUUCCAGCUCAAACUUAAAAAAAUUCUUCCAUAGAUUUCUAGCGAAAACAAGAGAAUAACUCCAAGGCAAGAUAAGUUUCUUGUGAAGCUAGUUAGAGUUCAUAUUUGAGGAUGAAAAAAUAAGCUUGAAGAUGGAUGUUUGAAGUGGAAGAGAGUAUGGGUAGGUGGAGAAAUUAAGAUAAAAUCGCAACGCCAAAAUUUACAGAGAAUAUAAGUCGAGAGAGAAUUUGUCGGAGUUAGAGAGAGUGAAACAAAAUGAGUAUCAGCUGCGCGUUGAAGGUGGUUCCGAUUGUGCUUCUGUUGGUUCUUUUCGCAUUAGUAUAAGCCUCCAUCAUGUGAAUUCCAGGCUCAUAAAGGUGAUAGAGUAAAAGUACACUAUCGGGGGAAGCUCACUGAUGGGAAGGUUUUCGAUUCCAGUUUUGAAAGAGGUUGUAGCACCCCAAACCCGGCCCAGAAGUUAUAGCCAGAUUCGGCAUGGCACAUCAAAAACGUUAAAAAAAAUUUUCCAUUCUAAGUCCAGAAAAUCGUACUUGAUGUUCAAAAGAUUAAUUCAUUAAGGGUUAAAGUGAAUGGAAGUCAUGCACCGGUAGGAAACCGGAAAAGAGGUGGUGAGUCCAUCGGAUUGCUUAAGUACCAAGCUCCUUCGAUCCAAUCCUAGACAUGCAUACCACCAUUGCCACACCUUAACGUCAUGGAUAUUUCUAGGAAACCGAUUUGAUUAAGUCAUUUUAGGAAAAGUGAUUAAUUUUGGAAAAUACUUUCAUUGCGGAAGCUUUGCUUGUUGUCGUGUUAUUUUGAAAUCAAUUGUUGUUUUUGAAAA